rnacentral:rRNA from 1 species
GACGAACGCUGGCGGCGUGCUUAACACAUGCAAGUCGAACGGUGAAGCUCCAGCUUGCUGGAGUGGAUCAGUGGCGAACGGGUGAGUAACACGUGAGCAACCUGCCCCUGACUCUGGAAUAAGCGCUGGAAACGGCGUCUAAUACUGGAUACGAGAAGGGUCCGCAUGGGCACCUUCUGGAAAGUUUUUCGGUUGGGGAUGGGCUCGCGGCCUAUCAGCUUGUUGGUGAGGUAAUGGCUCACCAAGGCGACGACGGGUAGCCGGCCUGAGAGGGCGACCGGCCAAACUGGGACUGAGACAAGGCCCAGACUCCUACGGGAGGGAGCAGGGGGGAAUAUUGCACAAUGGGCGAAAGCCUGAUGCAGCGACGCCGCGGGAGGGAUGACGGCCUUCGGGUUGUAAACCCCUUUCCGCAGGGAAGAAGCGAAAGUGACGGUAACUGCAGAAGAAGCACCGGCUAACUACGUG